GAUGAACGCUGGCGGCGUGCCUAAUACAUGCAAGUCGAGCGAACAGACGAGGAGCUUGCUCCUCUGACGUUAGCGGCGGACGGGUGAGUAACACGUGGAUAACCUACCUAUAAGACUGGGAUAACUUCGGGAAACCGGAGCUAAUACCGGAUAACAUGUUGAACCGCAUGGUUUAACAGUGAAAGACGGUCUUGCUGUCACUUAUAGAUGGAUCCGCGCCGCAUUAGCUAGUUGGUAAGGUAACGGCUCACCAAGGCAACGAUGCGUAGCCGACCUGAGAGGGUGAUCGGCCACACUGGAACUGAGACACGGUCCAGACUCCUACGGGAGGCAGCAGUAGGGAAUCUUUCGCAAUGGGCGAAAGCCUGACGGAGCAACGCCGCGUGAGUGAAGAAGGUCUUCGGAUCGUAAAACUCUGUUAUUAGGGAAGAACAAAUGUGUAAGUAACUAUGCACGUCUUGACGGUACCUAAUCAGAAAGCCACGGCUAACUACGUG
rnacentral:rRNA from 1 species